rnacentral:lncRNA from 1 species
UGGCCUUUUUCCGCUGGACGAACUUGGCGCCCCGGCCUUCGGGCGGUUAUUUUUGGGCGCGGUUUUGCCCGCGGAUUAUUCACGGCACACGGAGAUCCCUCGCAAAGUCUCACGGCAUUCCGAGUCCGGCGGACGAAGUGGGCCAGCCCCACCCCCCAAGGCUAUAGCCCACCCGUUUUUGUGGCCGUUUUCCGCCGGACGAACUUGGCGCCCCGGCCUUCGGGCGGUUAUUUUUGGGCGCGGCUUUGCCCGCGGCCUAUUUUUGGCACACGAAGGCCCGUCGCAAAGUCUCGCGGCAUUCCGAGUCCGGCGGACGAAGUCGGCCAGCCCCACCCCCCAAGGCUAUAGCCCACCCGUUUUUGUGGCCUUUUACCGCCGGACGAACUUGGCGCCCCGGCCUUCGGGCGGUUAUUUUUGGGCGCGCCUUUGCCCGCGGCNNNNNNNNNNNNNNNNNNNNNNNNNNNNNNNNNNNNNNNNNNNNNNNNNNNNNNNNNNNNNNNNNNNNNNNNNNNNNNNNNNNNNNNNNNNNNNNNNNNNCCCGUGUUUGUGGCCUUUUUCCGCAGGACGAACUUGGCGCCCCGGCCUUCGGGUGGUUAUUUUUCUGCGCGGUUUUGCCCGCGGCCUAUUUUUGGCACACGGAGGCCCCUCGCAAAGUCUCGAGGCAUUCCGAGUCCGGCGGACGAAGUUGGCCAGCCCCACCCCCCAAGGAUACAGCCCACUCGUUUUUGUGGCCUUUUACCGCUGGACGACCUUGACGCCCCGGCCUUCGGGCGGUUAUUUUUGGGCGCGGUUUGCCCGCGGCCUAUUUUUGGCACACGGAGGCCCCUCGCAAAGUCUCGCGGCAUGCCGAGUCCGGCGGACGAAGUGGGCCAGCCCCACCCCCCAAGGCUAUAGCCCACCCGUUUUUGUGGCCUUUUACCGCUGGACGAACUUGGCGCCCCGGCCUUCGGGUGGUUAUUUUUAGGCGCGGUUUUGCCCGCGGAUUAUUCACGGCACACGGAGAUCCCUCGCAAAGUCUCACGGCAUUCCGAGUCCGGCGGACGAAGAUGGCCAGCCCCACCCCCCAAGGCUAUAGCCCACCCGUUUUUGUGGCCGUUUUCCGCCGGACGAACUUGGCGCCCCGGCCUUUGGGCGGUUAUUUUUGGGCGCGCCUUUGCCCGCGGCCUAUUUUUGGCACACGAAGGCCAGUCGCAAAGUCUCGCGGCAUUCUGAGUCCGGCGGACGAAGUCGGCCAGCCCCACCCCCCAAGUCUAUAUCCCACCCGUUUUUGUGGCCUUUUUCCGCUGGACGAACUUGGCGCCCCGGCCUUCGGGCAGUAAUUUUUGGGCGCGGCUUCGCCCGCGGCCUAUUUUUGUCACACGGAGGCCCCUUGCAAAGUCUCGCGGCAUGCCGAGUCCGGCGGACGAAGUGGGCCAGCCCCACCCCCCAAGAUUAUAGCCCACCCGUUUUUGUGGCCUUUUACCGAUGGACGAACUAGGCGCCCCAGCCUUCGGGGGGUUAUUUUUAGGGGCGGCUUUGCCCACGGAUUAUUUAUUGGACACGGAGAUCCCUCGCAAAGUCUCACGGCAUUCCGAGUCCGGCGGACGAAGUUGGCCAGCCCAACCCCCCAAGGCUAUAGCCCACCCGUUUUUGUGGCCUUUUUCCGCUGGACGAACUUGGCGCCCCGGCCUUCGGGCGGUUAUUUUUGGGCGCAGUUUUGGCCGCGGCCUAUUUUUGGCACACGGAGGCCCGUCGCAAAGUCUCGCGGCAUGCUGAGUCCGGCGGACGAAGUCGGCCAGCCCUACCCCCCAAGGCUAUAGCCCACCUGUUUUUGUGGCCUUUUUCCGCUGGACGAACAUGGCGACCCGGCCUUCAGGCGCUUAUUUUUGGGUACGGCUUCCCCCGCGGCCUAUUUUUGGGACACGGAGGCCCCGCGCAAAGUCUCGCGGCAUUCCGAGUCCGGCGGACGAAGUUGGCCAGCCCCACCCCCCAAGGCUAUAGCCCACCCGUUUUUGUGGCCUUUUUCCGCUGGACGAACUUGACGCCCCGGCCUUCGGGCGGUUAUUUUUGGGCGCGGUUAGCCCGCGGCCUAUUUUUGGCACACCGAGGCCCUUCGCAAAGUCUAGCGGCAUGCCGAGUCCGGUGGACGAAGUGGGCCAGCCCCACCCCCCAAGGCUAUAGCCCACCCGUUUUCGUGGCCUUUUACCGCUGGACGAACUUGGCGCCCCGGCCUUCGGUUGGUUAUUUUUAGGCACGGCUUUGCCCGCGGAUUAUUUAUGGCACACGGAGAUCCCUCGCAAAGUCUCGAGGCAUUCCGAGUCCGGCGGACGAAGUCGGCCAGCCCCACCCCCCAAGGCUAUAGCCCACCCGUUUUUGUGGCCUUUUUCCGCCGGACGAACUUGGCGCCCCGGCCUUCGGGCGGUUAUUUUUGGGCGCGGCUUUACCCGCGGCCGAUUUUUGGCACACGGAGGCCCCUCGCAAGGUCUUACGGCUUUCCGAGUCCGGCUGAUGAAGUUGGCCAGCCCCACACCCCAAGGCUAUAGCCCACCCGUUUUUGUGGCCUUUUUCCGCUGGACGAACUUGGCGCCCCGAACUUCGGGCGGAUAUUUUUGGGCGCGGCUUUGCCCGUGGCCUAUUUUUGGCACACGGAGGGCCCUCGCAAAGUCUCGCCGUAUUCCGAGUCCGGCGGACGAAGUUGGCCAGCCCCACCCCCCAAGGCUAUAGCCCACCCGUUUUUGUGGCCUUUUUCCCCUGGACGAACUUCGCGCCCCGGCCUUCGGGCGGUUAUUUUUGGGCGCUGCUUUGUCCACGGCCUAUUUUUGGCACACGGAGGUCCCUCGCAAAGUCUCGCGGCAUUCCGAGUCCGGCGGACGAAGUGGGCCAGCCCCACCCCCCAAGGCUAUAGCCCACCCGUGUUUGUGGCCUUUUUCCGCAGGACGAACUUGGCGCCCCGGCCUUCGGGUGGUUAUUUUUCUGCGCGGCUUUGCCCGCGGCCUAUUUUUGGCACACGGAGGCCCCUCGCAAAGUCUCGCGGCAUUCCGUGUCCGGCGGACGAAGUUGGCCAGCCCCACCCCCCAAGGCUAUAGCCCACCCGUUUUUGUGGCCUUUUUCCGCUGGACGAACUUGGCGUCCCGGCCUUCCAGCGGUUAUUUUUGGGCGCGGCUUUGCCCGCGGCCUACUUUUGGCACACGUAGGCCCCUCGCAAGGUCUUGCUGCUCUCCGAGUCCGGCUGAUGAAGUUGGCCAGCCCCACACCCCAAGGCUAUAGCCCACCCGUUUUUGUGGCCUUUUUCCGCUGGACGAACUUGGGGCCCCGGACUUUGGGCGUUUAUUUUUGGGCGCGGCUUUGCCCAUGGAGUAUUUUUGGUACACGGAGGCCCCUCGCAAAGUCUCGCCGUAUUCCGAGUCCGGCGGACGAAGUUGGCCAGCCCCACCCCCCAAGGCUAUAGCCCACCCGUUUUUGUAGCCUUUUUCCGCCGGACGAACUUGGCGCCCCGGCCUUCGGGCGGUUAUUUUUGGGCGCGCCUUUGCCCACGGCCUAUUUUUGCACACGGAGGCCCCUCGUAAAGUCUUGCGGCAUUCCGAGUCCGGCGGACGAAGUUGGCCAGCCCCACCCCCCAAGGCUAUAGCCCACCCUUUUUUGUGGCCUUUUUCCGCUGGACGAACUUGGCGCCCCGGCCUUCGGGCGGAUAUUUUUUAUCGCGGCUUUGCCCGCAGCCUAUUUUUAGCACACGGAGGCCCGUCGCAAAAGUCUCACGGCAUUCCGAGUCCGGCGGACGAAGUUGGCCAGCCCCACCCCCCAAGGCUGUAGCCCACCCGUUUUUGUGGCCUUUUUUCGCUGGACGAACUUGGCGCCCCGGCCUUCGGGCUGUUAUUUUUAGGCGCGGCUUUGUCCGCUGCCUAUUUUUGGCACACGGAGGCCCCUCGCAAAGUCUCGCGCCAUUCCGAGUCCGGUGGACGAAGUGGGCCAGCCCCACCCCCCAAGGCUGUAGCCCACCCGUUUUUGUGGCCUUUUUUCGCUGGACGAACUUGGCGCCCCGGCCUUCGGGCGGUUAUUUUUGGGCGCGGCUUUGCCUACGGCCUAUUUUUGGCACACGGAGGCCCCUCGUAAAGACUCGCGGCAUUCCGAGUCCGGCGGACGAAGUGGAGCAGCCUCACCCCCCAAGGCUAUAGCCCUCCCGUUUUUGUGGCCUUUUUCCGCUGGACGAACUUGGCGCCCCGGCCUUCGGGCAGUUAUGUCUGGGUGCGGCUUUGCCCGCGGCCUAUUUUUGGCACACGGAGGCCCCUCACAAAGUCUCACGGCAUUCCGAGUCCGGCGGACGAAGUUGGCCAGCCGCACCCCCCAAGGCUAUAGCCCACCAGUUUUUGUGGCCUUUUUCCGCUGGACGAACUUGGCGCCCCGGCCUUCGGGCGGUUAUUUUUGGGCGCGGUUUGCCCGCGGCCUAUUUUUGGCACAUGGAGGCCCCUCGCAAAGUCUCGCGGCAUGCCGAGUCCGGCGGACGAAGUAGGCCAGCCCCACCCCCCAAGGCUAUAGCCCACCCAUUUUUGUGGCCUUUUACCGCUGGACGAACUUGGCGCCCCGGCCUUCGGGUGGUUAUUUUUAGGCGCGGCUUUGCCCACGGAUUAUUUCUGGCACAUGGAGAUCCCUCGCAAAGUCUCACGGCAUUCCGAGUCCGGCGGACGAAGAUGGCCAGCCCCACCCCCCAAGGCUAUAGCCCACCCGUUUUUGUGGCCUUUUUCCGCCGGACGAACUUGGCGCCCCGGCCUUCGGGCGGUUAUUUUUGGGCGCGGCAUUGCCUGCGGCCUAUUUUUGGCACACGGAGGCCCCUCGUAAAGACUCGCGGCAUUCCGAGUCCGGCGGACGAAGUGGGCCAGCCUCACCCGCCAAGGCUAUAGCCCAACCGUUUUUGUGGCCUUUUUCCGCUGGACGAACUUGGCGCCCCGGCCUUCGGGCGGUUAUGUCUGGGUGCGGCUUUGCCCGCGGCCUAUUUUUGGCACACGGAGGCCCCUCGCAAAGUCUCACGGCAUUCCGAGUCCGGCGGACGAAGUUGGCCAGCCCCACCCCCCAAGGCUAUAGCCCACCCGUUUUUGUGGCCUUUUUCCGCCGGACGAACUUGGCGCCCCGGCCUUCGGGCUGUUAUUUUUGGGCGCGCCUUUGGCCGCGGCCUAUUUUUGGCACACGGAGGCCCGUCGCAAAGUCUCACGGCAUUCUGAGUCUGGCGGACGAAGUCGGCCAGCCCCACCCCCCAAGGCAAUAGCCCACCCGUUUUUGUGGCCUUUUUCCGCUGGACGAACUUGGCGCCCCGGCCUUCGGGCAGUAAUUUUUGGGCGCGGCUUCGCCGGCGGCCUAUUUUUGGCACACGGAGGCCCCUCGCAAAGUCCCGCGGCAUGCCGAGUCCGGCAGACGAAGUGGGCCAGCCCCACCCCCCAAGAUUAUAGCCCACCCGUUUUUGUGGCCUUUUACCGCUGGACGAACUUGGCGUCCCGGCCUUCGGGUGGUUAUUUUUAGGCGCGGCUUUGCCCGCGGAUUAUUUAUGGCACACGGAGAUCCCUCGCAAAGUCUCACGGCAUUCCGAGUCCGGCGGACGAAGUUGGCCAGCCCAACCCCCCAAGGCUAUAGCCCACCCGUUUUUGUGGCCUUUUUCCGCUGGACGAACUUGGCGUCCCGGCCUUCGGGCAGUAAUUUUUGGGCGCGGCUUCGCCCGCGGCCUAUUUUUGACACACGGAGGCCCCUCGCAAAGUCCCGCGGCAUGCCGAGUCCGGCGGACGAAGUGGGCCAGCCCCACCCCCCAAGAUUAUAGCCCCCCCGUUUUUGUGGCCUUUUACCGCUGGACGAACUUGGCGCCCCGGCCUACGGGUGGUUAUUUUUAGGCGCGGCUUUGCCCACGGCCUAUUUUUGGCACACGGAGGCCCCUCACAAAGUCUCGCGGCAUUCCUAGUCCGGCGGACGAAGUUGGCCAGCCCCACCCCCCAAGGCUAUAGCCCACCCGUUUUUGUGGCCUUUUUCCGCUGGACGAACUUGGCGUCCCGGCCUUCCAGCGGUUAUUUUUGGGCGCGGCUUUGCCCGCGGCCUACUUUUGGCACACGUAGGCCCCUCGCAAGUUCUUGCUGCUUUCCUAGUCCGGCUGAUGAAGUUGGCCAGCCCCACACCCCAAGGCUAUAGCCCACCCGUUUUUGUGGCCUUUUUCCGCUAGACGAACUUGGCGCCCCGGACUUUUGGCGGUUAUUUUUGGGCGCGGCUUUGACCGUGGAGUAUUUUUGGUACACGGAGGCCCCUCGCAAAGUCUCGCCGUAUUCCGAGUCCGGCGGACAAAGUUGGCCAGCCCCACCCCCCAAGGCUAUAGCCCACCCGUUUUUGUGGCCUGUUUCCGCCGGACGAACUUGGCGCCCCGGCCUUCGGGCGGUUAUUUUUGGGCGCGCCUUUGCCCAUGGCCUAUUUUUGCACACGGAGGCCCCUCGCAAAGUCUCACGGUAUUCCGAGUCCGGCGGACGAAGUUGGCCAGCCCCACCCCCCAAGGCUAUAGCCCACCCGUUUUUGUGGCCUUUUUCCGCUGGACGAACUUGGCGCCCCGGCCUUCGGGCGGUUAUUUUUUAUCGUGGCUUUGCCCACAGCCUAUUUUUAGCACACGGAGGCCCCUCGCAAAGUCUCGCGGCAUUCCGAGUCCGGCGGANNNNNNNNNNNNNNNNNNNNNNNNNNNNNNNNNNNNNNNNNNNNNNNNNNNNNNNNNNNNNNNNNNNNNNNNNNNNNNNNNNNNNNNNNNNNNNNNNNNNNNNNNNNNNNNNNNNNNNNNNNNNNNNNNNNNNNNNNNNNNNNNNNNNNNNNNNNNNNNNNNNNNNNNNNNNNNNNNNNNNNNNNNNNNNNNNNNNNNNNNNNNNNNNNNNNNNNNNNNNNNNNNNNNNNNNNNNNNNNNNNNNNNACGAACUUGGCGCCCCGCCUUUGGGUGUUAUUUUUGGGCGCGGCAUUGCUUGCGCCUAUUUUUGGCACACGAGAGCCCCUCGUAAAGACUCGCGGCAAUCCGAGUCCGGCGGACGAAGUGGACCAGCCUCACCCGCAAAGGCUAUAGCCCAACCGUUUUUGUGGCCUUUUUCCGCCGGACGAACUUGGCGCCCCGGCCUUCGGGCGGUUAUGUUUGGGUGCGGCUUUGCCCGCGGCCUAUUUUUGGCACACGGAGGCCCCUCGCAAAGUCUCACGGCAUUCCGAGUCCGGCGGACGAAGUUGGCCAGCCCCACCCCCCAAGGCUAUAGCCCACCCGUUUUUACGGGCUUUUUCCGCUGGACGAACUUGGCGCCCCGGCCUUCGGGCAGUUAUUUUUUAUCGCGGCUUUGCCCGCAGCCUAUUUUUAGCACAUGGAGGCCCCUCGCAAAGUCUCGCGGCAUUCCGAGUCCGGCGGACGAAGUUGGCCAGCCCCACCCCCCAAGGCUGUAGCCCACUCGUUUUUGUGGCCUUUUUUCGCUGGACGAACUUGGCGCCCCGGCCUUCGGGCUGUUAUUUUUGGGCGCGGCUUUGCCCCCUACCUAUUUUUGGCACACGGAGGCCCCUCGCAAUGUCUCGCGCCAUUCCGAGUCCGGCGGAUGAAGUGGGCCAGCCCCACCCCCCAAGGCUAUAGCCCACCCGUUUUUGUGGGCUUUGUCCGCUGGACGAACUUGGCGACCGGCCUUCGGGCGGUUAUUUUUGGGCGCGGCUUUGCCCACGGCCUAGGUUUGGCACACGGAGGACCCUCGCAAAGUCUCGCGGCAUUCCGAGUCCGGCGGACGAAGUGGGCCAGCCCCACCCCCCAAGGCUGUAGCCCACCCGUUUUUGUGGCCUUUUUUCGCUGGACGAACUUGGCGCCCCGGCCUUCGGGCUGUUAUUUUUGGGCGCGACUUUGCCCGCUGCCUAUUUUUGGCACACGGAGGCCCCUCGCAAAGUCUCGCGGCAUUCCGAGUCCGGCGGACGAAGUUGGCCAGCCCCACCCCCCAAGGCUGUAGCCCACUCGUUUUUGUGGCCUUUUUUCGCUGGACGAACUUGGCGCCCCGGCCUUCGGGCUGUUAUUUUUGGGCGCGGCUUUGCCCGCUACCUAUUUUUGGCACACGGAGGCCCCUCGCAAAGUCUCGCACCAUUCCGAGUCCGGCGGAUGAAGUGGGCCAGCCCCACCCCCCAAGGCUAUAGCCCACCCGUUUUUGUGGGCUUUGUCCGCUGGACGAACUUGGCGCCCCGGCCUUCGGGCAGUUAUUUUUGGGCGCGGCUGUGCCCGCGGCCUAUUUUCGGCACACGGAGGCCGCUCGCAAAGUCUCGCGCCAUUUCGAGUCCGGCGGACGAACUUUGCCAGCCCCACCCCCCAAGGCU